rnacentral:rRNA from 1 species
AAAUCCGGGCGCAUGACUCAAGGGUGUGGCACGAGCGAACAUGUUUCGCGAAGUGAUUGGAAGUGGUUCCAAGAAAAGCCUCUAAGCUUCAGCUGUACGAGACCGUACCGCAAACCGACACAGGUGGACGGGAUGAAUAUUCCAAGGCGCUUGAGAGAACUCGGGAGAAGGAACUCGGCAAAUUGAUACCGUAACUUCGGGAGAAGGUAUGCCCCGGUAGUGUGAGGCGCCUGCGCGCUGAGCAUGAUGGGGUCGCAGAGAAUCGGUGGCUGCGACUGUUUAUUAAAAACGCAGCACUCUGCAAAGACGAAAGUCGACGUAUAGGGUGUGACGCCUGCCCGGUGCCGGAAGGUUAAGUGAUGGGGUGCAAGCUCUUGAUCGAAGCCCCGGUAAACGGCGGCCGUAACAAUAACGGUCCUAAGGUAGCGAAAUUCCUUGUCGGGUAAGUUCCGACCUGCACGAAUGGCGUAACGAUGGCCACACUGUCUCCUCCCGAGACUCAGCGAAGUUGAAGUGUUUGUGAUGAUGCAAUCUACCCGCGGCUAGACGGAAAGACCCCAUGAACCUUUACUGUAGCUUUGCAUUGGACUGUGAACCGGCCUGUGUAGGAUAGGUGGGAGGCGCUGAAACCGAGUCGCCAGAUUCGGUGGAGCCAACCUUGAAAUACCACCCUGGUUUGUUUGCGGUUCUAACCUUGGUCCGUUAUCCGGAUUGGGGACAGUGCAUGGUGGGCAGUUUGACUGGGGCGGUCUCCUCCCAAAGCGUAACGGAGGAGUUCGAAGGUACGCUAGGUACGGUCGGAAAUCGUGCUGAUAGUGCAAUGGCAUAAGCGUGCUUGACUGUGAGACUGACAAGUCGAACAGGUGCGAAAGCAGGACAUAGUGAUCCGGUGGUUCUGAAUGGAAGGGCCAUCGCUCAACGGAUAAAAGGUACUCUGGGGAUAACAGGCUGAUACCGCCCAAGAGUUCAUAUCGACGGCGGCGUUUGGCACCUCGAUGUCGGCUCAUCUCAUCCUGGGGCUGUAGCCGGUCCCAAGGGUAUGGCUGUUCGCCAUUUAAAGAGGUACGUGAGCUGGGUUUAAAACGUCGUGAGACAGUUUGGUCCCUAUCUGCCGUGGGCGUUGGAUACUUGACGGAGCCUGCUCCUAGUACGAGAGGACCGGAGUGGACGUACCUCUGGUGUACCGGUUGUCAUGCCAAUGGCAUUGCCGGGUAGCUAUGUACGGAAGAGAUAACCGCUGAAGGCAUCUAAGCGGGAAACUCGUCUGAAGAUUAGGUAUCCCGGGGCCUCGAGCCCCCUGAAGGGUCGUUCAAGACCAGGACGUUGAUAGGUCAGGUGUGGAAGCGCAGUAAUGCGUUAAGCUAACUGAUACUAAUUGCCCGUGCGGCUUGAUCC